rnacentral:rRNA from 1 species
GCGUGUGUGAAGAAGGCCCUCGGGUCGUAAAGCACUGUCAGGUGGUAAGAAUAGAGCUGUGGUAACGCACAGCCUUGACUCCCACCAGAGGAAGCACCGGCUAACUCCGUGCCAGCAGCCGCGGUAAUACGGAGGGUGCAAGCGUUGUCCGGAAUCACUGGGCGUAAAGGGCGCGUAGGCGGUUUGGCAAGUCUGAUGUGAAAGCCCUCGGCUUAACCGAGGAAGUGCAUUGGAAACUGCUGAACUUGAGUGCGGGAGAGGUAAGCGGAAUUCCGAGUGUAGCGGUGAAAUGCGU